CCUACGGGGGGCACCAGUGGGGAAUAUUGCACAAUGGGCGCAAGCCUGAUGCAGCCAUGCCGCGUGUGUGAAGAAGGUCUCCGGAUUGUAAAGCACUUUCGACGGGGACGAUGAUGACGGUACCCGUAGAAGAAGCCCCGGCUAACUUCGUGCCAGCAGCCGCGGUAAUACGAAGGGGGCUAGCGUUGUUCGGAAUUACUGGGCGUAAAGCGCGCGUAGGCGGAUAGAUAAGUCAGAGGUGAAAUCCCGGGGCUCAACCCCGGAAUUGCCUUUGAUACUGUUUAUCUUGAGUGCAGAAGAGGUAAGUGGAAUUCCGAGUGUAGAGGUGAAAUUCGUAGAUAUUCGGAGGAACACCAGUGGCGAAGGCGGCUUACUGGUCUGCAACUGACGCUGAGGCGCGAAAGCGUGGGGAGCAAACAGGAUUAGAUACCCUCGUAGUC
rnacentral:rRNA from 1 species